UCGAAAUCAUUGAUGGGAAGAAGUACGAAAUGCGAGACUCACAGAGAGGGCCACGUUGCUGAGAGUGGCUUAGUUCAACCAUUUUGGAAAUGCAUCCCUGAGUCCUAGCGGGAAAUGUAAAGAGUAUCGCUAGGCGUCGACAGGCCGUUACCCCUGUAUACAAGGUGGGACUGGAUUCAUCAGUCCAAUCAGAGUGGAACCGCGCAAGACGUCUCUGUA
rnacentral:ncRNA from 1 species